ACGCUUACUUAGCAGCACAAGCCCCGAAUGUGGUGGAGUAACAUUCCUGUAGUGUGCUGAGGACUUGUGCACUGUUCCUGAUCCUAUGGGUAAUUGAUACUAAAUUAUGAGGAAGUAUCCAUGGUCAGUGAAGCGUAUGAAUGCUUUCAUUAUUCAAACACUCUCUUCGAACAGCACAGCUUCUGCACCGAAGAACACUGAGAUGAGGACACUCAGACUCGGACUUGUCCUGGUGGGCUUUGCGUUUUGUUGUGUUUCAUCUAAAGAUGUUUACGUGUUCCAGGGCAUUGACGAAUGCGAGUAUAGCAAAGAGGAUUUGUCUGACAUGGUCUACAGAGUGAAACUGGUCUUCAACCAGAAGCUUCUGUGCAGUUAUGACUCAAGGCUGGGGAAAUAUAUUGGUUAUGAUGAAUAUGGAAUCAAGAACGCCGAUCAUUUCAACAGUCAGAUUUGGAAGAUGAAACAGCGCAAGGAAGAGCUGGAGACACUGUGCAGAGCUGAUGCAAGAUUUUAUGUCAACAGCACAUCGAGAAAGGUGCCGCCCAUUGUUACCGUACGCUCCACUGAGAAGGCUCAUUAUGGUCAGCUUACCACCUUGGUGUGCCGUGCAUACAAUUUUUACCCACAGGCCAUUAAUAUGACCUGGCUAAUGGACGGAUUGGAGGUCACUGGUGACGUGAUCUCUACUGAAUUCAUGGAUAAUGGUGACUGGAGCUACCAGAUGCAUUCAUACCUGGAUCUGGAGCUCCACAGAGGAGUCGCAGUGAGCUGCCGAGUGGAGCACAGCGGCCUGGAGAAACCUCUUGUUGUUCAGUGGGGUGAGUGAAGAUGACUCGACCUCUCUCGAUACCAGAAUUGCAAAAUUAGCUGUGGGUUGCUCUUUUUUCCUUUUUGGCCUUAUUGUGGCUUUUUCUGCUGCAUACAUCUACUACAAAAGAAAGCACAGAGGUUUUUCUUCUCUUCCCCUCUUUUGAGCAUCUUUUUCAUUCAUUUUGUGAUGUUAAGGGUUGAAAAAUCAACUUUUACAUAGAUUUGUGUAAAUGUUUGAUUCCACGUUGUAUAUUAUUGCUCAUCUUAAUAAAGAAUAUUUUUUUUAACGU